UGAGCUUCACUAGCUAAGUUAUGACCAUAGGAACCACUUUGUUCAUAAAAUAAACGGCUGUCUACUGUAAAGCUCCUGGGUAAAAAGUUCAGACGUUUCAUGACACGCGAGGGCUCGGCCUCCCUGGAUUGAUUACGUGUUCCUGGAUUCGAGUGGCUCGGCGUUUCGUAACACUUGUUUUCCAUUUCACAGUGCUGAUUCGAAUUUAUUUGCGUUCAGCUUGAGGUGACUGAACGCUGCAAGAGGCGAUUCGGCAUUGAAGGCGUUGGCACCGAACAGUAAAUUCAACAGACAAGGGAUUCGCUUUGUUCCUCUUUGUUGAGGAACACCAAGAUCGUCAAUCGGUCAAUAAUAUAUAUGGCUUCAUCCUCUGUAGAGUGCAGCACGACGUUCCGUCGAUUCUCCAUCUGCUUUUACCAUCGUAAGCCCGAAUGGGGCUGAUUAUAUCGUCAGAUCAUCCCAACUC